rnacentral:rRNA from 1 species
ACUGGAUACUCCCUACGGGGGAAAGUUUUUCGCUAAAGGAUCAGCCUAUGUCCUAUCAGCUUGUUGGUGAGGUAAUGGCUCACCAAGGCUAUGACGGGUAUCCGGCCUGAGAGGGUGAUCGGACACACUGGAACUGAGACACGGUCCACACUCCUACGGGAGGCAGCAGUAGGGAAUAUUGCUCAAUGGGGGAAACCCUGAAGCAGCAACGCCGCGUGGAGGAUGAAGGUUUUAGGAUUGUAAACUCCUUUUGUUAGAGAAGAUUAUGACGGUAUCUAACGAAUAAGCACCGGCUAACUCCGUGCCAGCAGCCGCGGUAAUACGGAGGGUGCAAGCGUUACUCCGAAUCACUGGGCGUAAAGAGUGCGUAGGCGGGGUAAUAAGUCAGAUGUGAAAUCCUGUAGCUUAACUACAGAACUGCAUUUGAAACUGUUACUCUGGAGUGUGGGAGAGGUAGGUGGAAUUCUUGGUGUAGGGGUAAAAUCCGUAGAGAUCAAGAGGAAUACUCAUUGCGAAGGCGACCUGCUGGAACAUUACUGACGCUGAUGCACGAAAGCGUGGGGAGCAAACACGAUUAGAUACCCUGGUAGUCCACGCCCUAAACGAUGGAUGCUAGUUGUU